GACGAACGCUGGCGGCGUGCCUAAUACAUGCAAGUUGAGCGAUGAAGAUUGGUGCUUGCACCAAUUUGAAGAGCAGCGAACGGGUGAGUAACGCGUGGGGAAUCUGCCUUUGAGCGGGGGACAACAUUUGGAAACGAAUGCUAAUACCGCAUAACAACUUUAAACAUAAGUUUUAAGUUUGAAAGAUGCAAUUGCAUCACUCAAAGAUGAUCCCGCGUUGCAUUAGCUAGUUGGUGAGGUAAAGGCUCACCAAGGCGAUGAUACAUAGCCGACCUGAGAGGGUGAUCGGCCACAUUGGGACUGAGACACGGCCCAAACUCCUACGGGAGGCAGCAGUAGGGAAUCUUCGGCAAUAGACGAAAGUCUGACCGAGCAACGCCGCGUGAGUGAAGAAGGUUUUCGGAUCGUAAAACUCUGUUGGUAGAGAAGAACGUUGGUGAGAGUGGAAAGCUCAUCAAGUGACGGUAACUACCCAGAAAGGGACGGCUAACUACGUG
rnacentral:rRNA from 1 species